GUUAAGUAUGUUAGGUAUGGUAUAGGUCUAUAUAGUUUUUCGAAAUUUUUCGACACGUAGGCACUUGCAACAAAAUUUGUAAGGUGAUUACAUAACGAUUUUAAAUUUAGUAUUAGCUAGAUUUUUUCGUUUAAAUUAUUAAACAUGACUAAUUCAGCAUGAAUACCAGGCUAAAAAGGGAAGUAUCUUAUCUAAUGUAAAAGUAUCUUAAGAUACAUAUCUUGUACUUUUAUCUUGAAUACUUAAUUUUUAGGAAAGUAUCUUGUAUCUUGUAUCUUGUGUACUUGAACAAGAUGUAUCUUUUAUCUUGUAUCUUAUAUCUUGUCUUCGAGAGUAUCUUAUCUUGUAUCUUGUAUCUUACGACCAAAGUAUCUUGCCCACCCCUGUGGGAUACACACUGGAGAAAAGGUGUCCACUUGUCAAUAUUGCGGCGAGGAUUUUUAUUCUAAAAGAAAAUUAGUACUUCAUCAGAAUGUUGCCCAUAUUAAGGACUACAAACGCUUUGAAUGUUGGGUACCUCUGAGAAGACUUGAGACACAAGGCCCCCCCAAAAACUACGUGGAAUUUGUCCAUAAUAAAUAGGAAGCAAUAUGUAUGAGUGUUAUUUUUGCCAGAGGAAAUUGACUUGGAGGACUUUCCAGGAACAUAAGUAUGUGUCAAAACUCAUACCGAAGAGCAUGCCAACCUCAGGAUUAGAAGUAAGGAACGUUGUAAUUAAUGUUUAUGUAAUAGAAUAUGUAAUAGUUUAUAUUUUUAUAAUAGAAAACUAUGAAUAUCGCUAUAAGCAAUUACUGAUCGAGUUUCGCAAAAUACUUGUUUCAAUUUUAAUAAACUAGUUUCUAUGAAAAAUUCAAAU